rnacentral:tRNA from 1 species
GCUGUAGCUCAGCGGUGGAGCGCUUGCCUGGCAUGUGUGAAGCCCUGGGUUCAAUCCUCAGCACUGCA